rnacentral:lncRNA from 1 species
CAUUAAAUUUACUAUAAUUUGUAUCUAAACCAAUUAAUUAUAUAUAAGGGGCAAUUGAUUAUAUAUCCCUGAAAGGUUUUCGACUUUCCGAUUUACCCCUCUUAGAAGGCUAAUACUGAAAAUGCUUUUUUUACGUUCUAACCUAUUUCUAAUAAACCCCUACAGUUAAAAUCUGUUAAUGAACUCUAUUAUUUCUAUGAAAUUACUACUUUGCUUUUUCAAAUAUACCUUUAUACCAUCACUGACUUUUUUUAUUUGCCCUUACGUUAAGAGCACAAAAAAUAUUUUGCUUUUUUAUUUUUUUAAAUAUAUCAUUCUAUCAUCACUAAUAUUUCUUAUUUACCCUUAAGUUAAGGGCAAAAGUUGUAUUUUAAUUUUUUCUAACUAUGGUAGAUAUUUAACUCACGUUUAACCCAAGUUAACUAAAUGGGUGGUAACUGUAUGGAUAUUUUGGAAUAACGGAGGAACAUAAUAGGGGUAUAU